rnacentral:rRNA from 1 species
CAUGCAGGCGGUUAAACAAGUAGGAUGUGAAAGCCCGGGGCUCAACCUCGGAAUUGCAUUCUAAACUGUGUAACUAGAGUAUUGCAGGGGGAGACGGAAUUCCAGGUGUAGCGGUGGAAUGCGUAGAGAUCUGGAAGAACACCAGUGGCGAAGGCGGCUGUCUGGUCUGUAACUGACGCUGAGGCUCGAAAGCAUGGGUAGCAACA